CGCGGCGUGGAGCAGUUGGUAGCUCGUCGGGCUCAUAACCCGAAGGUCGUAGGUUCAAGUCCUGCCGCCGCUACUA
rnacentral:tRNA from 1 species